AUUGAACGCUGGCGGCAGGCCUAACACAUGCAAGUCGAGCGAGCGGCGGACGGGUGAGUAAUGUAUGGGGACUGCCCGAUAGAGGGGGAUAACUACUGGAAACGGUAGCUAAUACCGCAUACUAUCGGAUAACCCAUAUGGGAUUAGCUAGUAGGUUAGGUAAUGGCUCACCUAGGCGACGAUCCCUAGCUGGUCUGAGAGGAUGAUCAGCCACACUGGAACGGAGAAAAGGCCCAGACUCCUACGGAGGCAGCAGUGGGGAAUAUUGGACAAUGGGCGCAAGCCUGAUGCAGCCAUGCCGCGUGUAUGAAGAAGGCCUUAGGGUUGUAAAGUACUUUCAGUCGGGAGGCGUUACCGACAGAAGAAGCACCGGCUAACUCCGUGCCAGCAGCCGCGGUAAUUC
rnacentral:rRNA from 1 species